rfam:Candidatus Nanosalina sp. J07AB43 genomic scaffold scf_7180000030744, whole genome shotgun sequence.
CUUUUGGGUAGGCUGGGCGGUUCGGGGCCGCUUGUAACCCUGAAAUCCUCGUUAUGCAGUGGAGCCGAAAACCGUUGUGGAGGUGUUCUUUUCAAUGGUUUGGCCCAUGGGAUGGUUGUUUGACGAUCCGUCCUCCGGGAUGUCGCAGGCUGUGAACCGGGUCAGGACCUGGCGGUAGCAGCCCUAAGCAGUCAGUGGCAUGUUCGGAGGGUGGCGGAUCCGAGACUGUGCCGUGGAUUCACCAGCCGUUGAAAGACAUCAACCUUCGGAAACCCAAUUA